rnacentral:sRNA from 1 species
GUCGUUAAAUUAAUUUGUUCUUCUUUUAUUGCUAAUCAUUCUUUGCUUGUUACUUUUUUGUAAAUAGUUAAGGAGCUGACAAACGUACCUAUCAUUGCUAAAGGCAAAACAAGUUUUAUUACUCAAAAAAUUACAAAUAUAACAAAGGGUACAUUAAGCCAAAUUAAUAAGAUAUCAAUAAUUAUUCAUUGAAUUAUUCCCACAACAUCAGUCAGCAU